GAUGAACGCUGGCGGCGUGCCUAAUACAUGCAAGUCGAGCGAACGGACGAGAAGCUUGCUUCUCUGAUGUUAGCGGCGGACGGGUGAGUAACACGUUAAUAACCUACCUAUAAGACUGGGAUAACUUCGGGAAACCGGAACUCAUACCGGAUGAUAUUUUGACACUCAUGGUUCAAAAGUGAAAGACGGUCUUGCUGUCACUUAUAGAUAGAUCCGCGCUGCAUUAGCUAGUUGGUAAGGUAACGGCUUACCAAGGCAACGAUGCAUAGCCGACCUGAGAGGUGGAUCGGCCACCCUGGAACUGAACCACGGUCAAGACUCCUACGGGAGGCAGCAGUAGGGAAUCUUCCGCAAUGGGCGAAAGCCUGACGGAGCAACGCCGCGUGAGUGAUGAAGGUCUUCGGAUCGUAAAACUCUGUUAUAAGGGAAGAACAGAUGUGUAAGUAACUGUGCACAUCUUGACGGUACCUAAUCAGAAAGCCACGGCUAACUACGUG
rnacentral:rRNA from 1 species